rnacentral:sRNA from 1 species
GCACCAAGGGUAUCUCUUAUAGAGAAGUUAAGACGGUGGUUACUUAAUCGAAAGGUGGUGGUACCUAUGUGCAUAGCAGGUAAAAUCCUAUUAGAAAGGAGUAACCUGAUUUGUCAACAUUUGAGGUUUUAACACUCUUGUUUGUAGCUGGUAACUUUGUUAUUGCUCUCGUGAAGUUAAU